rnacentral:rRNA from 1 species
UACAGAGGGUGCAAGCGUUAAUCGGAAUUACUGGGCGUAAAGCGUGCGUAGACGGUUAUGUAAGUCAGGUGUGAAAGCCCCGGGCUCAACCUGGGAAUUGCAUUUGAGACUGCAUAGCUAGGGUGCGGAAGAGGGAAGCGGAAUUUCCGGUGUAGCGGUGAAAUGCGUAGAGAUCGGAAAGAACACCAACGGCGAAAGCACUCUGCUGGGCCGACACUGACACUGAGAGACGAAAGCUAGGGGAGCGAAUGGG